UCUGCUGGAUCAGGCAUAGAACCUCUCAAAAAUGGUGGACUUCCUCCCUCCAUCAUGCUGGGGCUGCAGGCAACAUAGCCAGGCUUUGCUAGGGUGUGGGCAUGUGUGCCAGCAGGGUGAGGGAUGACUGAAACAGGCCAGGA